GAGUUUGAUCCUGGCUCAGAAUCAACGCUGGCGGCGUGCCUCAGACAUGCAAGUCGAACGAGAAAGUCCCCUUCGGGGGAUAAGUAAAGUGGCGUCCGGGUGAGUAACACGUAGGUAAUCUACCUUCGGGUGGGGAAUAACCCAGGGAAACUUGGGCUAACACCGCAUAAUGCAGCGGCACCACAUGGUGACAGUUGUUAAAGCGGGGGAUUUUAGGACCUCGCGCCUGAAGAGGAGCCUGCGGCGGAUUAGCUAGUUGGUAAGGUAACGGCUUACCAAGGCGACGAUCCGUAGCCGGCCUGAGAGGGCGGUCGGCCACACUGACACUGACAUACGGGUCAGACUCCUACNGGGAGGCAGCAGUCGGGAAUUUUGGGCAAUGGGCGAAAGCCUGACCCAGCAACGCCGCGUGAAGGAUGAAGACCUUCGGGUCGUAAACUCCUUUCGACCGAGAUGAAGAGCCUCCGACCUAAUACGUCGGAGGCCUGACAGUAUCGAGGGAAGAAGCCCCGGCUAACUCUGUGCCAGCAGCCGCGGUAAUACAGGGGGGGCAAGCGUUGUUCGGAAUUACUGGGCGUAAAGGGUUCGUAGGUGGCUUACUAAGUCAGACGUGAAAUCCCUCAGCUUAACUGGGGAACUGCGUCUGAUACUGGAAAGCUUGAGUGCAGGAGAGGAACGCGGAAUUCCAGGUGUAGCGGUGAAAUGCGUAGAUAUCUGGAGGAACACCGGUGGCGAAGGCGCUCAUCUGGCCCAAUACUGACGCUGAGGCGCGAAAGCUAGGGGAGCAAACGGGAUUAGAUACCCCGGUAGUCCUAGCCGUAAACGGUGAUCACUAGGUGUUGGAGGCAUCGACCCCUCCAGUGCCGCAGCUAACGCAUUAAGUGAUCCGCCUGGGGAGUACGGCCGCAAGGUUGAAACUCAAAGGAAUUGACGGGGGCCCGCACAAGCGGUGGAGCAUGUGGUUUAAUUCGACGCAACGCGAAGAACCUUACCCAGACUUGACAUGCAUUGGAUAGGUGUGGAAACACACCUUCCCUUCGGGGCCGAUGCACAGGUGCUGCAUGGCUGUCGUCAGCUCGUGUCGUGAGAUGUUGGGUUAAGUCCCGCAACGAGCGCAACCCUUGUCCUUAGUUGCUAACGGGUAAUGCUGAGCACUCUAAGGAGACUGCCGGUGAUAAACCGGAGGAAGGUGGGGAUGACGUCAAGUCCUCAUGGCCCUUACGUCUGGGGCUACACACGUGCUACAAUGGCCGGCACAAAGGGUUCCGAUACCGCGAGGUGGAGGCAAUCCCAAAAAACCGGUCUCAGUUCGGAUUGCAGUCUGCAACUCGACUGCAUGAAGUCGGAAUCGCUAGUAUCGCUGAUCAGCAGGCAGCGGUGAAUACGUUCCCGGGCCUUGUACACAC
rnacentral:rRNA from 1 species